UUCAGUGCAGCAAAUGAUGAAAUUGUCAAAUCCGCAAACACAAAAUCGAUGUGCUGGCGUGUGUCGCAUUAGUCGCGGGUGACAGAAAAGAAAAUUUGUUUUCUGUUUUGCUGGUCGCUGAUAUGCUGAUGGUAGCAAAAUUAAUUUGAUCGAAUUUGAUUACUGUUCCCGCCAUCGUUAUAAUCGGAAGAUAUGUCGUCUCGACGGAGCUUAUUUCCGGCUCGUUUGCUUCGCUGCAAAGUCAAGGUAUUCCGGUGGCGACCAAUCGAUUGGAACAGGGAAAAACUCAAAACAAGAGCGGAAUGGUUGAUGGCGGAUGAGAAGGCCAGUUGGUCAGCAGUGAGCCAAACGUAAUCACAAAAGAUGUACUAAGUAAAUAAGCCUACAACUCAAGGUACGUCUCCGGGCAGUUCGACGAAUAAACGGGACGACGGGAUAAAAACAACGAAUAAAAUGGAAUACCCGAGAGAAUGCCUGGUUUAGCAGAUGCCAACAGCUUCACCGUUUCCCGAUAAAACUACCCUGGCAUCCAUGUAUUUUUAUUAAACAGUGUUUAAAUCUUGUUUGAAAUAAACAAGUAAACUCAAAUCGAUAUUAAAUAAAACAUGUUUCAAAAAAGAA